AUUCCGCUUUGCUUUCUGCUGUGGUAACUACAAUACACUCAGUACAGCACUGUUUUACUUUUAUGAUGGAACUUGACUGACACCUGUGCUUUGCCUGGUAGGUGUGCACAUACUGUA
rnacentral:lncRNA from 1 species